CCCCGUGCACCUUAGGGCACACUUAGUCGUUCCUGGUGGAACGUUCCGAUUUAUGAGGACCCACUGGCUAUCGCUUCAUCAUGGCACUCCCUUUCCACUUUUCUUGGGGGUCACCCAUCACUUUAUCUUGCACUUUGGCACGACUCGAGGGUUCGUCACCCUCCCCUUUCACUAGAGACUGGCGCACGGACAACUUCUUACUCGGCCGCUGAGUAUCCGUCACCGAACCAAUUCCCUUGCCUUGGGUGGCCUCGGCAUCGCUUUCGCUCAGAAUUAUCCCGCGAACAGUGACGAAUACCUGGGCUUGGACCCACUAGAUAGGUACUGGUCCUACUUCGAACCUACUUUGAUUCGUCUCCAGGCUUGGCUGACUACAACUUCUUAGUCGCCUACUCAACACCAAUCCCCACUUUACGGUGAGCUUGGGUCUCGAUCGACCAAGAGGGGCUUUACGCAACUCCGCGUCGUCAACUGACCUGUAGAUCCCCAUUUCGUGACAAAGCCACGCCCGACGCGCUCGCCAUGGUUUAGCUCCGUUUGAGACUUAUGAUCUAUACUGGGUUUAC
rnacentral:rRNA from 1 species